GACAGAGGUGCCAAGCGUUAGGCGGAAUCACUGGGCUUAAAGCGUGUGUAGGCGGAUCGUUAAGUGCCUUGUGAAAUCCCACGGCUUAACCGUGGAACUGCUCGGCAUACUGGCGGUCUUGAGCAACCUAGGGGCGAGCGGAACAAAUGGUGGAGCGGUGAAAUGCGUAGAUAUCAUUUGGAACGCCAAUGGUGAAAACAGCUCGCUGGGGGUUUGCUGACGCUGAGACACGAAAGCGUGGGGAGCGAACAGG
rnacentral:rRNA from 1 species